UACGGAGGGUGCGAACGUUAAUCGGAAUCACUGGGCGUAAAGCGCGCGUAGGCGGUUUGUUAAGUGGGAUGUGAAGUCCCCGGGCUUAACCUGGGAAUUGCAUUUCAAACUGGCCGACUAGAGUACGGUAGAGGGAGGUAGAAUUUCCUGUGUAGCGGUGAAAUGCGUAGAUAUAGGAAGGAAUACCAGUGGCGAAGGCGGCCUCCUGGAUCGAUACUGACGCUGAGGCGCGAAAGCGUGGGGAGCAAACAGG
rnacentral:rRNA from 1 species